UUAUGGCCAUAUAAUGUUGAAACACCAGUUCCCAUGUGAUCACCAAAGUUAAGCAACAGCAAGGCUGGACAGUAGCUAGAUGGGUGACUGCUUGGAAAUAAUAGGUGCUGU